rnacentral:rRNA from 1 species
UGGGGAAUAUUGCACAAUGGGCGCAAGCCUGAUGCAGCCAUGCCGCGUGUAUGAAGAAGGCCUUCGGGUUGUAAAGUACUUUCAGUCGGGAGGAAGGUGGUAAGGUUAAUAACCUUAUCAAUUGACGUUACCGACAGAAGAAGCACCGGCUAACUCCGUGCCAGCAGCCGCGGUAAUACGGAGGGUGCAAGCGUUAAUCGGAAUUACUGGGCGUAAAGCGCACGCAGGCGGUUGAUUGAGUCAGAUGUGAAAUCCCCGGGCUUAACCCGGGAAUUGCAUCUGAUACUGGUCAGCUAGGGUCUUGUAGAGGGGGGUAGAAUUCCAUGUGUAGCGGUGAAAUGCGUAGAGAUGUGGAGGAAUACCGGUGGCGAAGGCGGCCCCCUGGACGAAGACUGACGCUCAGGUGCGAAAGCGUGGGGAGCAAACAGG